AUCGAACGCUGGCGGCAUGCUUUACACAUGCAAGUCGAACGGUAACAGGCCGCAAGGUGCUGACGAGUGGCGAACGGGUGAGUAAUGCAUCGGAACGUGCCCAGUCGUGGGGGAUAACGCAGCGAAAGCUGUGCUAAUACCGCAUACGAUCUAUGGAUGAAAGCGGGGGACCGUAAGGCCUCGCGCGAUUGGAGCGGCCGAUGUCAGAUUAGCUAGUUGGUGGGGUAAAGGCCCACCAAGCCAACGAUCUGUAGCUGGUCUGAGAGGACGACCAGCCACACUGGGACUGAGAAACGGCCCAGACUCCUACGGGAGGCAGCAGUGGGGAAUUUUGGACAAUGGGCGCAAGCCUGAUCCAGCAAUGCCGCGUGCAGGAAGAAGGCCCUCGGGUUGUAAACUGCUUUUGUACGGAACGAAACGGUCCGGGUUAAUACCCUGGGCUAAUGACGGUACCGUAAGAAUAAGCACCGGCUAACUACGUGCCAGCAGCCGCCGUAACAC
rnacentral:rRNA from 1 species